rnacentral:sRNA from 1 species
AAAGGAAAGCAAAGCGUGGGUAAGGAAGCAUGGGGAGGUGCCUAUAGGAGGAGUAGCUGUGACAGGUCCAGGGAAGCUGCCUGCGAAAUAUGUCAUCCAUGCAGUGGGGCCUAUCUACACAAGCAAGAAGAGUUCCGAGCCCUUGCUUAAAAGUGC